rnacentral:misc_RNA from 1 species
UUUUUCCUGAGAUUAGGAGGUUUUUGCCGGACGAGACAAGCUCACCUGUUACUACUUGCUUGUUGCGGCUCUCUCAAGUGACGCUCACAUAAAAAAGAGAAGAUUUUUAGAGCGAGAGAGAACUUUUUUUUUUUUCCUUGUUAGUGAGAGAAAGAGUGAGUCUUUAGGGAGGGACAUGCUAUUGCUAUUACCAUUGUUGUCUUUUGAUUCACCCAUGUUGUUGUUGCUGUUGCUGUUAGUGUUGUCUCCUAAUCUUCUCCAGAUUUCAACAACACGCUCAGCCAUUUCUUCUUCUUAUUCAGGUAUGAGUUUAUGGGUACCAUUAUUCUCUUUCUUCUCCUGCUUCCCAUUUUACCCCUCUCUGUGUUCUGCUCUUCAUGCUACAUUUUACUCUCAAAAAGCCAUUCUGUUGUUAGAUCUAUCCAUUUUCUUGCUUUUUUGUGGAAAUGUCAUCUGGAUAUGCUUUAUUUUCUCGAUUUGAGCUGCGAAGUCGGCUCCUUUGAUAUUCUGCCAUCUAGACUCUGUUUUAUUUUGGUCAAAUCUUUCUAUAAAUGAUAGAUUUUGACGCCUUUUUGUUUAUAUAUUUUUUUAGCGUAAUAUGUUUUUUUAAUUUUUCUUUCCUCAGAUUCUGUUGAAUCCAAGAUUUUCCGUUCUUUUUUAUUUAUACAGUAAAGCUUUCCUCUCAAGUGAGAUCUUAUACUGUGAAAUAUCUACAUGCUCCAUUAGAUCUUGCUAAUUUUCUUCAUUUUUAACGGUGUUAUUGUUAUUUUUCUGCUGGUGUGGUGGUGUUAUAUGAAUUUUUUGUGGUGUUAGGGAUGCUAUCUUUAUCCUCUGUUCGGAUAUUCAGGUAACGCAGGAAAACAAAAGAAUGAAAGACACUAACGGACAGUUGUUGUGUCAUCUGGGACUCCUUGUAUCAAAAUCCUAGAUCUUAACUAUUUCUCUAAUGCUUGGUUCAAUGAUUUGUGUGAUAUGUCUUUUGGUUCUGUGGAUGGUAGAUGACUUGAAGAUUUUAUGGUUGACUUAUUCUUGAAUUGAAUUAACAUCCAUUUCACAUUCUUACUGACUCAAUGUUCAGGGAGAUUGUGGAUAUGACAAAUUUGAAAACAUUAUUUUGGACGCUGGUGUUCUUCAUGUCUCAUGAGGACUCUUGUUUAUUUAUGUUGGUGGUCUGAUGCUGCACAGUUUUACGCGGUUGGCUUCUGUUAAUUUUAGCAGUUGUGGGUGUUUUGGGUCCAUUAUUUUUGGUAUCUUUGCUUGGGCUCAAAUGUUCUGCUCUUUUAUGACUUCAUUUCUCUGUUUCACUGAGUAUUACAAUCCACUAACAAUUUAUUUGAAGUUUGCAUUCUUUCUUUGGUUUACAGAUUGCAUGAUUAAGGCCAAUAUUUUUCUCACGUUUCAUUAGAACUAGUCCAACCCACUAAUUUUUUAUCUAGCUCAUUUUAACUGUAUUACUGCAAUAUUGUCUACACCAACCUGUUUCUGUUCUUUAUGUGUUGUGUGGCAUUCCAGAUUCCUUUUCUCAAUCAAAUUCUAAUGUGAAGCCUGUUUGUGCACUACCCAUUAUCAUGCUUUAAUUACUGUUCAAUGGUAAACAAUUUAUCUAAACGCUAAGGGUUUUUCUGUUUUUAGGAGGGCUUUGACCAGUGCAUCACUAUACUUAGUAGUUUGAUUGUGUAAUUCCUCCUGCAGUCUCUUAAAACAGCUCGAUGGGUUCUCGGUUCCCAUCUCAUCAGCUUAGCAAUGGCCUUUAUGUAUCGGGCAGGCCUGAGCAGCCAAAGGAAAGGACUCCAACAAUGAGCUCUGUGGCCAUGCCAUACACUGGUGGUGAUAUCAAGAAGUCAGGAGAAUUGGGUAAAAUGUUUGAUAUUCCUGUGGAUGGCUCAAAGUCUAGGAAAUCUGGACCUAUAGCUGGUGCUCCUUCAAGGACAGGAUCAUUUGGAGGUGCUGCUUCUCAUUCAGGACCAAUCAUGCCUAAUGCAGCUGCUAGAGCUGCCUAUACCACAUCGGGUGCUGCAUCUUCUGGAGGCGUGUCUGGUUCAGCUUCAUUAAAGAAAUCUAAUUCUGGACCCUUAAAUAGGCAUGGAGAUCCUGUAAAAAAGACAUCUGGCCCUCAGUCUGGUGGAGUAACUCCCUCUGGCCGCCAAAACUCUGGCCCCCUUCCUCCUGUUCUUCCUGCAACUGGUCUCAUUACAUCUGGGCCUAUUUCAUCAGGUCCCCUAAAUUCAUCUGGGGUGCCUCGAAAGCUAUCAGGCCCUUUAGAAUCUAUGGGAUCAAUGAAAAUCCCAGGAUCUGCUGUUGUUCACAAUCAAGCAGUUACUGUCUUUAGCCAAGAAGAUGACUUUUCUUUCCGAAAGAACUUCCCAAAGCCAAUAUUGUGGUCACUGAUUCUACUUUUUGUCAUGGGUUUCAUUGCUGGUGGUUUUAUACUUGGAGCAGUGCAUAAUGCCAUUCUUCUAAUUGUUGUUGUGGUUCUUUUUGGUGCUGUUGCUGGAUUAUUCAUAUGGAAUACCUUCUUUGGGAGGAGGGCUAUCAUGGGUUUUAUUGCUUGUUACCCAGAUGCUGAGCUGCGAAAUGCGAAGAAUGGACAAUUUGUAAAGAUAUCUGGGGUGGUCACCUGUGGAAAUGUACCUCUUGAGUCAUCCUUCCAAAAAGUUCCUAGAUGUGUAUAUACGUCCACAAGUUUGUAUGAGUAUCGAGGAUGGGAUUCAAAAGCAGCCAACCCAACUCAUCGCCGUUUCACCUGGGGACUCAGAUCAUUAGAACGACGUGCAGUUGACUUCUACAUCUCUGAUUUCCAAUCUGGGUUGAGAGCAUUGGUUAAAACUGGCUAUGGAGCGAGGGUGACCCCUUAUGUUGAUGAUUCCCUUGUCAUUGAUGUCAACCCUAGUACUGAAGAGUUGUCUCCUGAGUUCAUCAGAUGGUUGGGAGAAAGGAACCUAUCAAGAGAUGAUCGAAUAAUGCGAAUGAAAGAAGGGUAAGAGCUCUCUCUUGCUGAGAGAAAUGCUUUUUUAUUAUUGUUUUUCUAAUACUACAAUAAAAUCCUCUCUCUCCCUCUCCCCCUCUCCCCCCCAACAAAACACUCCCCUCUCCUUUUUUCCUUCUGUAGAACGUUGAUGAUAGAAAACGCACAUUGCCCGUAUCUGGGAAGUAUUAUUUUAUUAGGUUCAUUAUUAAUAAUGGGUGGAUAAUGCUUGAAUCCUGCAGGAGUGACAAUCAGAGAUGAUAGUUAAUAUGUCUACAAGUGAGAGUGUAUGCCUUAAGUUUGCUGGCAAUGUGCUGCCAGCCUCAAUUUUUUGGGUUAAACCUAAUUAAAUCCUCUGGGUCUGCAUGCAUUGGAUUUAUGCCCCAAGUAUUUUGGGAACUCUGAGCCUUGAAGUGUCUCAUAUAUUAGUAUAUGGUUUAGCCAAGCACUACUGUCCUAUGGUCAAUUUAGUUAAAAGCUAAAUGACUUGGAUUUUUUUUUUUCCUGUUAUUAAUAUAUAAGUUAGCAUUAGUAUAGUGCCAUUUAUCAGUUUUGUAAAUUUGUAGAAAUUGCAAAUGUUGUUUAUACAGGUAUAUCAAAGAAGGAAGCACUGUUAGUGUAAUGGGAGUUGUUCAAAGGAAUGAUAAUGUGCUUAUGAUUGUACCUCCACCUGAGCCAAUUACAACAGGUUGCCAAUGGGCCAAAUGUAUUUUUCCAGCAAGCCUCGAUGGUAUUGUUUUGAGAAGUGAAGACACCUCGAAGAAUGAUGUCAUACCAGUGUAAUAAUGUUGUAGACACACCAUACUGUUCUCUUUUAUUCUUUUUAUUCACUAUUAAUAUUGACGGUGGCUGCAAUGAUGAUGGUAUUCGGCAAGUGAUGGUCAGGUGGCUGCAGCGGCAUUGUUCUGUUUUUCAUUUGCCCUUGGUGUAUAGUUUUGGUGUUUCGUGCCAUUUCUUUUUUUCUUCUAGGUCUUGAUGGCUUUUGUAAUGGGGUUGGCUUGGUAUUGUAGGGAAUUUUACAUGUUUGAGCAGAUUGCGGUUAUGUUAAAUAGAAAGAAAAAGGUUGUGAGCUAUUCAGCAUAUUGUCAUCUGGACUAGAAAUUAUCCUUUUAUUUUUGUUUACACGUAAUGCUGGGAAUCAUACAAAUUUGAGCUUCUGUUAUGAAAUCAUCUGAUACCUGCACUUGUAUCAGCUUGGGAUGACAAGCACUCAA